rnacentral:rRNA from 1 species
GAUUAUGGCUCAGAGUGAACGCUGGCGGUAGGCCUAACACAUGCAAGUCGAACGGCAGCACAGUAAGAGCUUGCUCUUACGGGUGGCGAGUGGCGGACGGGUGAGGAAUACAUCGGAAUCUACUUUUUCGUGGGGGAUAACGUAGGGAAACUUACGCUAAUACCGCAUACGACCUACGGGUGAAAGCAGGGGACCUUCGGGCCUUGCGCGAUUGAAUGAGCCGAUGUCGGAUUAGCUAGUUGGCGGGGUAAAGGCCCACCAAGGCGACGAUCCGUAGCUGGUCUGAGAGGAUGAUCAGCCACACUGGAACUGAGACACGGUCCAGACUCCUACGGGAGGCAGCAGUGGGGAAUAUUGGACAAUGGGCGCAAGCCUGAUCCAGCCAUACCGCGUGGGUGAAGAAGGCCUUCGGGUUGUAAAGCCCUUUUGUUGGGAAAGAAAUCCAGCCGGCUAAUACCUGGUUGGGAUGACGGUACCCAAAGAAUAAGCACCGGCUAACUUCGUGCCAGCAGCCGCGGUAAUACGAAGGGUGCAAGCGUUACUCGGAAUUACUGGGCGUAAAGCGUGCGUAGGUGGUUGUUUAAGUCUGUUGUGAAAGCCCUGGGCUCAACCUGGGAACUGCAGUGGAAACUGGACGACUAGAGUGUGGUAGAGGGUAGCGGAAUUCCUGGUGUAGCAGUGAAAUGCGUAGAGAUCAGGAGGAACAUCCAUGGCGAAGGCAGCUACCUGGACCAACACUGACAC